CUAUUUGUUUAUCUAACAAAAAGAAGCUAAUAACAAUCUCACUAAUAUUUCUUCUGCUGGGCAAUGUUGUUCGGACUUUUCAAAAAUGCCAUCGGGUUUGUGUCGAAUUCGCCAGUAGUGUAUAUUUGAAGAAUCCGAGACGGGUGCUGCAUCAAAAGCUGCUAGGAUUGUUUGUCAUCAUCCUCAAAUGUUCAGCUCUAGCAUUCUAUUGUAG
rnacentral:lncRNA from 1 species